rnacentral:misc_RNA from 1 species
GCAACCUGGCAUAAAAAACC